AUGACCUUGUUUAAUCUGAUGGAAUGGGCUCCUAAAUCUUGCUGGUGGCCUCAGCCAGGACCCGGUUCAUUGUCCAUUAUUUCCUCAAGGCGUGAUGGUUUUCUCCAGGAGACAUGUAAGCACAAUACAGAACACAGAAGUAUUUUCCACUGUCCCUGCCAUGUAAGCCCAAUUACAAAUUUCUUGUUAAAUCUCAUUACGAAAUAUGCAAACCUAUAUGAAUAUGUUUGGUGUUUUGUUGUGUGCCCUUAAUAUUUUUUUUGAAAUUACCAGGAAAGAAUAGAUUCUAAAAUGCAGUGGUUCAUCCCUCAGACCUCAUUAUUCUGUCCUCACAAUGUGCAUCACAAUGAAAUGACUGACUAAGGACUCUGAAUACAAGUAAAUAUAGAAGCUCUAUGUAAAUACGCUUGUCGAAUCAGGAGAAAGAAAGAAAAGGCUCGGAGGAGUUGUUUAUGCUUUCUUUCAUCUGAAGUGCCAUUUUCUCUGUACAUCAGAUAGCAUAUUGAUUUUAGUGUACUUCAAUUCUCAAUUUUCCAUAAACCAUAAAAACCUUAAUGGCUUCUCCAAAGCUCAAGUGAGAAACAAUCAAUUAAUUUUCCCAGUAGUUCAACUCUGUCAAAAUUAAAGUGCUAUUUUAAUGAAUUUUUCAGACAUUUAGGAUCUACACAGCAGCAGCGUAAUGCCAAAAAGGCUUUCUUUAACCAUGGCAAGAAAAGUUUAAAUAUAUACCAAUUAAAUAGGGGGUUCAAAUGUUUUAACCUUUAUUAUAGACACGAAAAUGCAAGUCUCUUUACAUUGCAUUUUUCUAGGCUUUAUCCUGAGUCCCCUGCAGCUCUGAACAGAACUGUUGCAGAAUCAUCUGUAAUAAAAUAAUCAAAUGCAUCA
rnacentral:lncRNA from 12 species